rnacentral:rRNA from 1 species
AUUGAACGCUGGCGGCAUGCCUUACACAUGCAAGUCGAACGGUAACAGGUUGAGCUGACGAGUGGCGAACGGGUGAGUAAUGUAUCGGAACGUGCCCAGUCGUGGGGGAUAACUACUCGAAAGAGUGGCUAAUACCGCAUACGACCUGAGGGUGAAAGCGGGGGACCGUAAGGCCUCGCGCGAUUGGAGCGGCCGAUAUCAGAUUAGCUAGUUGGUGGGGUAAAAGCCCACCAAGGCGACGAUCUGUAGCUGGUCUGAGAGGACGACCAGCCACACUGGGACUGAGACACGGCCCAGACUCCUACGGGAGGCAGCAGUGGGGAAUUUUGGACAAUGGACGCAAGUCUGAUCCAGCCAUGCCGCGUGCGGGAAGAAGGCCUUCGGGUUGUAAACCGCUUUUGUCAGGGAGCAAAUGCCUGGUGUUAAUAGCAUCGGGAGCUGAGAGUACCGGAAGAAUAAGCACCGGCUAACUACGUGCCAGCAGCCGCCGUAAUAC